GUGUUCACAUCAGCAGCCUAUAUACUAAAAUUGGAAUGAUACAGAGAAAAUUAGCAUGUCCCCUGUGCAAGGGUCAUACACAAAUUCACAAAGCAUUCCAUACGUUU
ensembl:snRNA U6 U6 spliceosomal RNA